UGCCUGAUCUUACCAGCCUCCCUCACCACCCCAUGUCCAGGGAGCAGAUUGCUCAGGGAUGGACUCUCCUGACACUAAGGGAGACACGAGCCCACUUAAGCAACAAAGGGGAUUUGUACCUUCCCGAAGCCAGAAGUGCCUGUGUGACUGGAUGGGGGCUCAGGGAUGAGCACACCAGGCUCCUCUCCGCAGCACCGGCCGGCCGGCGUCAGCCCCUUGUCCCUGGGCACAGAGGUGAGGCAGCAGCAGGCCCAGCAGGUGUCUCCCUCAUUGUCCCCACUGUCACCCAUCACACAGGUGCGAGGGUGUGGGCAGCGGGAAGGUGGCAGCUCUGCCUAUGGGAGGCCUGCGCCUGCCAGGUCUCGGAGUUCUGAGAACAUCCCUGACGUGUCUACUUUUCGUCAUCAAACUUCCAAAACAUAGAAGGUGCAGGACUGGAUGGCAUCCCUGGCAGGCCCACAAAGGCGCGGUUCAGCCGAGUGUUUUUCAUUAAGUUACUUCUGCUUUUGAUGUGGUAGUUGAAAUUUCCCAAGAUAAAAUGUUUAGAGA
rnacentral:lncRNA from 1 species